rnacentral:rRNA from 1 species
UACGUAGGGUGCAAGCGUUGUCCGGAAUCAUUGGGCGUAAAGAGCGUGUAGGCGGCUCGAUUAGUCCGCUGUAAAAAGUCCAGGGCUCAACCCUGGGAUGCCGGUGGAAACUGUCGGGCUAGAGUCCGGGAGAGGCGAGUGGAAUUCCUGGUGUAGCGGUGAAAUGCGCAGAUAUCAGGAGGAACACCAAUGGCGAAGGCAGCUCGCUGGAACGGUACUGACGCUGAGACGCGAAAGCGUGGGGGAGCAAACAGG